GCCUCGACGGUGUACUGGUUAGAGCACGCGUUCCCAGAUAGGAUGAAACGCGGGUUCGAUCCCCUCCUGAGGCC